CUGUUGAGGUUCCAUCUCAACAUUCUCCAGAUUCAGAUGUGAGCCAUUAACUGACUUCAUCCCUCCAACAGAAACCAACUGUUGAGGUUCUAUCUCAACAUUCUCUAGAUUCAGAUGACAGCCAUAAACCGACUUCAUCCCUCCAACAGAUUGAAAGCAGGACAAAUCGCUGGAAGUGGGUAUGUCUCAAGCUUCUUCCACUUGGUCCACUCCAAAGCGGGGGGAAGAAGUGGAAGCAGUUGAAUGACACAUGUUGCAUUUUGUAACUGGCAACAAAGUACCAGGUAAAAAAGAUUGUGAAGCCUGCCUCCAUAAAGAACUAGUAGCUCUACAGGACAGAGAUUGGCUUGCCAUCAAGUACUACAUCCAUAACAGAAUUAUAUUAAAAAAAGGGAAAAAAAAUGUUUUCCCACAUCUUCUGUGGUAGUUUGAGUAUGUUACCAGCAAUUAAAAAAGCAAAAUAAACA